rnacentral:rRNA from 1 species
AACGAACGCUGGCGGCAGGCUUAACACAUGCAAGUCGAACGGACGUAGCAAUACGUUAGUGGCAGACGGGUGAGUAACGCGUGGGAAUAUGCCCUUUAGUUCGGAAUAACCAAGGGAAACUUUGGCUAAUACCGGAUAAUCCCGAGAGGGGAAAGAUUUAUCGCUGAAGGAGUAGCCCGCGUCUGAUUAGCUAGUUGGUGAGGUAAUGGCUCACCAAGGCGACGAUCAGUAGCUGGUCUGAGAGGAUGAUCAGCCACACUGGGACUGAGACACGGCCCAGACUCCUACGGGAGGCAGCAGUGGGGAAUAUUGGACAAUGGGGGCAACCCUGAUCCAGCCAUGCCGCGUGAGUGAUGAAGGCCUUAGGGUUGUAAAACUCUUUUAUCCGGGAAGAUAAUGACUGUACCGGAAGAAUAAGCCCCGGCUAACUUCGUGCCAGCCGCCGCCGUAA